GCGAAUACCGGAGAAUGUUAUCACGGGAGACACACGGCGGGUGCUAACGUCCGUCGUGAAGAGGGAAACAACCCAGACCGCCAGCUAAGGUCCCAAAGUCAUGGUUAAGUGGGAAACGAUGUGGGAAGGCCCAGACAGCCAGGAUGUUGGCUUAGAAGCAGCCAUCAUUUAAAGAAAGCGUAAUAGCUCACUGGUCGAGUCGGCCUGCGCGGAAGAUGUAACGGGGCUAAACCAU
rnacentral:rRNA from 21 species